CUGGGUGACAGCCUGAAAAUGAAGAGCCUGUGUAAGCUCAAAAGCUUGUCUCCUUCACCUGUGGAGGUUGGUCCAGUACGAGAUUUUACCUCACCC